rnacentral:rRNA from 1 species
AGAGUUUGAUCCUGGCUCAGGAUGAACGCUGGCGGCGUGCCUAAUACAUGCAAGUCGAGCGAACGGACGAGAAGCUUGCUUCUCUGAUGUUAGCGGCGGACGGGGGAGUAACACGUGGAUAACCUACCUAUAAGACUGGGAUAACUUCGGGAAACCGGAGCUAAUACCGGAUAAUAUUUUGAACCGCAUGGUUCAAAAGUGAAAGACGGUCUUGCUGUCACUUAUAGAUGGAUCCGCGCUGCAUUAGCUAGUUGGUAAGGUAACGGCUUACCAAGGCAACGAUGCAUAGCCGACCUGAGAGGGUGAUCGGCCACACUGGAACUGAGACACGGUCCAGACUCCUACGGGAGGCAGCAGUAGGGAAUCUUCCGCAAUGGGCGAAAGCCUGACGGAGCAACGCCGCGUGAGUGAUGAAGGUCUUCGGAUCGUAAAACUCUGUUAUUAGGGAAGAACAUAUGUGUAAGUAACUGUGCACAUCUUGACGGUACCUAAUCAGAAAGCCACGGCUAACUACGUGCCAGCAGCCGCGGUAAUACGUAGGUGGCAAGCGUUAUCCGGAAUUAUUGGGCGUAAAGCGCGCGUAGGCGGUUUUUUAAGUCUGAUGUGAAAGCCCACGGCUCAACCGUGGAGGGUCAUUGGAAACUGGAAAACUUGAGUGCAGAAGAGGAAAGUGGAAUUCCAUGUGUAGCGGUGAAAUGCGCAGAGAUAUGGAGGAACACCAGUGGCGAAGGCGACUUUCUGGUCUGUAACUGACGCUGAUGUGCGAAAGCGUGGGGAUCAAACAGGAUUAGAUACCCUGGUAGUCCACGCCGUAAACGAUGAGUGCUAAGUGUUAGGGGGUUUCCGCCCCUUAGUGCUGCAGCUAACGCAUUAAGCACUCCGCCUGGGGAGUACGACCGCAAGGUUGAAACUCAAAGGAAUUGACGGGGACCCGCACAAGCGGUGGAGCAUGUGGUUUAAUUCGAAGCAACGCGAAGAACCUUACCAAAUCUUGACAUCCUUUGACAACUCUAGAGAUAGAGCCUUCCCCUUCGGGGGACAAAGUGACAGGUGGUGCAUGGUUGUCGUCAGCUCGUGUCGUGAGAUGUUGGGUUAAGUCCCGCAACGAGCGCAACCCUUAAGCUUAGUUGCCAUCAUUAAGUUGGGCACUCUAAGUUGACUGCCGGUGACAAACCGGAGGAAGGUGGGGAUGACGUCAAAUCAUCAUGCCCCUUAUGAUUUGGGCUACACACGUGCUACAAUGGACAAUACAAAGGGCAGCGAAACCGCGAGGUCAAGCAAAUCCCAUAAAGUUGUUCUCAGUUCGGAUUGUAGUCUGCAACUCGACUACAUGAAGCUGGAAUCGCUAGUAAUCGUAGAUCAGCAUGCUACGGUGAAUACGUUCCCGGGUCUUGUACACACCGCCCGUCACACCACGAGAGUUUGUAACACCCGAAGCCGGUGGAGUAACCUUUUAGGAGCUAGCCGUCGAAGGUGGGACAAAUGAUUGGGGUGAAGUCGUAACAAGGUAGCCGUAUCGGAAGGUGCGGCUG